AUUGAACGCUGGCGGCAGGCUUAACACAUGCAAGUCGAGCGGAGCGGCGGACGGGUGAGUAAUGCAUAGGAAUCUGCCUGGUAGUGGGGGAUAAAGUCCGGACACGGGCGCUAAUACCGCAUCCUAUCAGAUGAGCAUAGGUCUGAUUAGCUAGUUGGUGGGGUAAAGGCCUACCAAGGCGACGAUCCGUAACUGGUAUGAGAGGAUGAUCAGUCACACUGGAACUGGGCCACGGUCCAGACUCCUACGGGAGGCAGCAGGGGGGAAUAUUGGACAAUGGGCGAAAGCCUGAUCCAGCCAUGCCGCGUGUGUGAAGAAGGUCUUCGGAUUGUAAAGCACUUUAAGUUGUGAGGCGUUACCAACAGAAUAAGCACCGGCUAACUUCGUGCCAGCAGCCGCGGUAAUUC
rnacentral:rRNA from 1 species